ACUCAAAUGAAUUGACGGGGACCCGCACAACCGGUGGAGCGUGUGGUUCAAUUCGAGACGAAGCGAAGCACCUUACCAGGGUUUGACAUAGUACCGUUUUAUACCUUUGGAAACAUGGGUAGAUCUCGCAAGAGAUGGUAUUACAGGUGUUGCAUGGCUGUCGUCAGCUCGUGCCGUGAGGUGUUCCCUUAAGUGGGGAAACGAGCGCAACCCCCAUCUAAUGUUAGAUAUUCAUUAGAGACUGCUCUAGUUUUACUAGGGAGGAAGGAGGGGAAGACGUCAAGUCCGCACGGCCCUUAUACCCUGGGUCACACACACCCUACAAUGGCGAAAAACAACGUGUUGCAAGCCGGCAACGGCAAGCGAAUCACUGAAAUUUCGCCUCAGUUCAGAUUGGGGUCUGCAACCCGACCCCAUGAAGUCGGAAUCGGUAGUAAUCGCGGAUCAGCAGGCCGCGGUGAAUACGUUCUCGGGUCUUGUACACACCGCCCGU
rnacentral:rRNA from 1 species